rnacentral:rRNA from 1 species
CCUACGGGUGAGCAGCAGUGGGGAAUAUUGGACAAUGGGCGAAAGCCUGAUCCAGCCAUGCCGCGUGUGUGAAGAAGGCCUUCGGGUUGUAAAGCACUUUCAGUGGGGAAGAAAGCCUUGGGGCUAAUACCCUCGAGGAAGGACAUCACCCACAGAAGAAGCACCGGCUAACUCCGUGCCAGCAGCCGCGGUAAUACGGAGGGUGCGAGCGUUAAUCGGAAUUACUGGGCGUAAAGCGCGCGUAGGCGGUCUGAUAAGCCGGUUGUGAAAGCCCCGGGCUCAACCUGGGAACGGCAUCCGGAACUGUCAGGCUAGAGUGCAGGAGAGGAAGGUAGAAUUCCCGGUGUAGCGGUGAAAUGCGUAGAGAUCGGGAGGAAUACCAGUGGCGAAGGCGGCCUUCUGGACUGACACUGACGCUGAGGUGCGAAAGCGUGGGUAGCAAACAGGAUUAGAUACCCGAGAGUC